GCAGCUGCAAGUCCAGGAUCAUAGAGUGUGCUUUGCAGAGUGACACAUACAUGGACGGCAAUCCCUGUAGCCACAGUUCUCUAUUGUUUCCAGGCCUGUUGCUGAUAGAAAAGAGCUUAACUCAUGAAAGGAAAGGUACAUUAAAAAGUGAAGUAAGAAGUAGACCUUAGCUCAGACUGCACAUUCAAGCCCUAGCAUCUCAGGUGGCGGAACUGAGAAAGAUCUUUUGCUCAACAGCUGUGUUCAAGACCUGUUGACAGCACUUGAGAGAAAGCGAGGUGAGGAG